GUCAUUCUCCUGCGUCAGACUCCCGAGUAGCUGGGACUACAGGCGCCCGCCAUGAUGCCCGGCUAAUUUUUUGUAUUUUUAGCAGAGACGGGGUUUCACCCUGUUAGCCAGGAUGGUCUCAUCUCCUGACCUCGUGAUCCGCCCGCCUAGGCCUCCCAAAGUGCUGGGAUUACAGGCGUGAGCCACCGCGCCCGGCCUAAUAAAGGACAAUUUUUAAUAGCCACUGGACUAUUUAAGUGAUCUCUUCUGUCAGUUUCUUUUACCAUCAGAGGACACAGCAGCAAGGUGCCAUCCUAGAAGCAGAGAGCAGACCCUUACCAGACAACCAACCAGCUGGUGCCAUGAUCUUGGACUUCUCGGCCUCCAGAACUGCACUUAAACACGCAGCAUGAGGAAAAUGGAACAACAAUCUUGAGCAACACCACACCCUCCUGAUCACCAUAGCUUUAUGCAACAACAAGAAACAAAUUUAUUAGCUAACCUAACCACUAAUGACGCAAGAGACAAUUCUAAGGACUUUCAAAACAGCAAAGUAGGAGCAGCUGCUACCUCUAGGGAUGAGGGAUGCAAUUGUCCAAUUAUUGGUGAAAUUGUCAUUUCAUGCUAUUGGCUAUUUGAAAUUCCUCCUCUAAUUUCAGAAUAAAUCACUGAAAUUGACAUCGGCCAGUCUGAAUUUCAAGAAAUUACCUGCUGAAGACAAGAGGGAUCUCUUCUUCAGAUUUGCAGUCUGGGGAAGACACAGCCUCUACUGUACUUUAGAACCUGAGAUAUGGUGGUGGAGGGAGCCCUGGGUCGAGUGGUAAGAUUCACCCUUAGGUUAGUAUUGACGUAAGGUGACGAGGAGCUGUAGACAAAAGAUUGUAACCAUAAGAACUUCAUAGUUUUUGUAUUUUCACCGAGCUUAUAUUUGGUGUGUUUUUUGUCUUUUCUUUAUGAUUAUCAAUAAAAUGCUUGAAAG
rnacentral:lncRNA from 1 species